UGAAGCACCUGGCAGGGGAGAUACCAUGAUCAAGGUGGUUUCCCAGGGUGAGGCCUGUCCCUCCCAAACAGGCUGACCCUCCAAGUUUCUCUGAUGGUGGGAAACUCAGUUGCACAAUUCUGUGGCAAUAGAGAACUGCAUUCAUGCUUCCCUCUG